AAUGAACGCUGGCGGCAGGCCUAACACAUGCAAGUCGAACGGAGUUAUAUUGUAGCUUGCUAUGGUAUAACUUANUGGCAGACGGGUGAGUAAUGUAUAGGAAUCUACCUAGUAGUACGGAAUAAUUGUUGGAAACGGCAACUAAUACCGUAUACGCCCUACGGGGGAAAAAUUUAUUGCUAUUAGAUGAGCCUAUAUUAGAUUAGUUAGUUGGUGAGGUAAAGGCUUACCAAGACAAUGAUCUAUAGCUGAUCUGAGAGGAUGAUCAGCCACACUGGAACUGAGAUACGGUCCAGACUCCUACGGGAGGCAGCAGUGGGGAAUAUUGGACAAUGGGCGAAAGCCUGAUCCAGCCAUGCCGCAUGAGUGAAGAAGGCCUUCGGGUUGUAAAGCUCUUUUAGUGAGGAAGAUAAUGACGGUACUCACAGAAGAAGUCCUGGCUAACUCCGUGCCAGCAGCCGCGGUAAUACGGAGAGGGCUAGCGUUAUUCGGAAUCAUUGGGCGUAAAGGGCGCGUAGGCGGGUUAGUAAGUUAAAAGUGAAAUCCCAAGGCUCAACCUUGGAACUGCUUUUAAAACUGCUAGUCUAGAGAUUGAAAGAGGAUAGAGGAAUUCCUAGUGUAGAGAUGAAAUUCGUAAAUAUUAGGAGGAACACCAGUGGCG
rnacentral:rRNA from 2 species